UGCAGGAGAACAGAGACAGCUGAGGUUAAAACAGAGACUGUUCUUCAGAAAAAUCUAAGUCUUGUCAGAAAGAGCAUCCCAGCAUCUGAGAUCACCAGCAGUUCUCUUUCUUUCUGAUAGAUAAGAACACAAUCAUAGACAAAGAAAUGCUAACAACUUAUUUUGAGAGUCAUUCUGGAGAAACAUUUCUUCUUACUGUAUCAGCAUUGUUAUAAUCUUCAGUGUAUUGUUCAAAUGCUAAGUUCUUCAGUUUUGAAUGUUAAUGGCAGCGUGACGUCUCAGAGGUUCUGCACCCUGUUUUUAGAGGCAAGCACUCAAGAAAAGCCUGCUUCUCUGAUGACAGCAGGAGUUACACACACAGUUAUACAAGAAAACAUCUGUUGAACUCCAUGUAACCUGAAAAACAUACGUGGUCUGGUCUAGAAAUCUGUGGGAGAGUAAGUGCAGGAUCUGGUCCCUAAAGCUGCUCCAUCACGUUGCCAAGUAACCAGAGGAGUAAUAUAGUUUGUUUUCCAUGGAGGGCAGGAAGAAUCAAAGUGCUUGUGUGAAGGAUCACAGAGCCUAAGGAAAUGUGUGAUCAGUGAGGAGACUGAAACCAGCAUGAUCCUGCCACUUAGAGACAUUCUGUACCCUAAGUGUGUCUCAUGCCUUCUUAUUUCUGCCCUCUCCAUGGACGACCUAGAAGAACAGUAGCUCACUACAGUUCUCAUGUGAUAACUGAAUGUGAACUAAUAGCGAGCUGACAAUACACUUUCAUGCUUUAUGAAAAGGAGUAUAUGAGGGAGCUGACAAGAGUAAGGAGACCUGGAAAUGUUCCCUGGUCACUUCAGCCUUGUCACUGUCACUUCUUCAGACAGCAAGCAUCUGUGGGGAAGAGCGAGCUGGAGGAACCUGCUCUAGGGAAUCUGCACCAUGUCUGCAUACAGGCUGGGCAAGACUUGCAAGACACAAGUAGACCAUUUGUCUUUGGUCCCAAAAGAUCGUGAAUGCCUGAAAUGGUGCUGCAGACACUAAGAAUGCAAGAAGGAACUUUCAAAUCAAGAAUUUCAGGAGGAAAGAUAAAAGGUUUUGGACUUUUCAUUGAAGGUAGAGUUCAUUCAUGCUUUCCAUUGUUUUCUAUAUUCCUUGCUCUUUACUAUAGGAUACUUUCCCACUUGACAGUAAAAAAAGAAGAGACAGUUCACAUCUCUUGCGACAUCCAACCAGAAAAAAAAAAAAUGCAGCUAGUUUAGAUGAGCAUUUAAUGGAAAUGUAAAGUUAUAGAUACAGAAGUCAACCUCUUGUUUUACAGUUGUGCUGUCUGUAAAACAUUGGAUUCCUAGUCCACCAUCAAUUACGGAUAUUACCACAGUAACAGUAUACAGUCAGGGUGUAUUUUUCCCUAUGUAUAAUAAAUUAACAUGGUUCACAUAAAUUCCUGAAUUGGUACUUAUGUCCUUUUGUUAUCACCUCUGAUACUGGAUACAUGGAAUCAGGGAAGUCAUUUUUCUCUGCCUUGGUUUUGCUUUGUUUCUAAUAUUCCCUUCAGCUGGAAAAUGAUUUUAGUUCUCUAUUACAAAAAUGUGAUAUAAAUCUAGUCCUGAGAAUCUUAAAAUCUGUAGGAAACAGCUGAAUAAAUGGAGUUUAUUAAAUGUGACUUCCUACAGUCUUAGUGAGGACUUCUCUAACAAUUAAAGCCAGAAUUCUCAAAUGGCAGAAGCUUUUUUAGUCUGUCCGUUCUCAGAAGUGAUUCAACCUCUUAGCUUAGCCCAGAACGUGUGCAGAAAUGCAUCUCCCACAUUAUUCAGAUGGUGUUAAUUGAGGGCUUUCUGCUUUCCUAACAAAAGAGGUGAUAAAUGUCUCUCCCUUUUCGUUUAAAAUCUUCACCUCCUACAGUAGUUUCAGUGUGUUUGAGUGGAUAUAAUAAGUAGACUGCAGAAAUUAAUUAAUUAUAUGUGUUAACUUCUCACUUUUUGCCUUUGUUGAAUCUUCUCUUUUUUCCCUCGGCCUUGACUUUUGCAAAAUUAAAGUUGUCUCCCAGGGUGUAUAGCUUUUAAUUUGACUCUAUACUGUAUUUAGCUGCUGCAGCGCGUCAAGCAUGUGGAACAUUUUAACAAGGAGUUUUUAAUGAAUCCCUGGGAAGAAAGUGCCCUCGAAAACAAUACUUCAGUACGUAAGCACUUAUAUACUCUGCAACAAUAAAAACACAACACAUGGAAAAGAUUUUCCUGCCUCUCUGUGUUUUAAACAAACUUUAGCCACAAUCAAGGUCAUAGCCAUUCACUGAGAGGUACUUUUGAUUAAAGGUUUUUUUCUCCAAGGUUGCAAGUAAAUUAUUUCAGCCCGUUUGAUGAUUUGCUAGAAAGGUGUGUUAAAUUGCUGGUAAUUUGAAUUGUGUAUUCAAUUGUGUCUACACAUUCCUUGCAUGUUUCCAUAAAUGCUGGCAUCACUUCUGUAUUACUCUUGGCUUCUUGCACUUGUGUCAGAAGGAAAUGAGUGAUUUUAACACAGCCAUGAAGUUCAAUACAAAGUGGAGAGGGGCUGAAUUUCCCUCAGGUCUUAAUCCCAGUGAAGGUUCAGGGCACUGAGCAGUUAUAAUCAGUCACUUGUCUUUCUGAAUUACUCUAUCCAAAGACACAGGCAGCUCUAUAAUGUCUUCUUAUUUUUCUGUACCAUCAAAUGAAUUUGACAUGAGAAGAAAAGAAAAUGGACAACAAGGAAAAUCAGGACACAGGAUUAAGACAGAGAGUUUUGACGUGUUGACCUUAGUGCUGAUUUUAUGCAGUCAAAUGUUUGAUGUUUAUAGUUUUUUGACCGUCUCUGCAACCUUUGCUGGAGCACUGUAAGAAUUAGAUGACUUGAUGUUUCUGAAGCUGUUUUCUUCUGAGGAAAAAAAGGAAACCAACUGAAAAAAAAAAACAAAAAAACCCACAACAUUGGACUGUGGUGUUCUGAAGACUGCACGUGAGUUCCUGCUGUUAAACCAAAUAUUUCUCCUCCUAAACGUAUUGAGCUGCAAUAUCUCCAGAAGUAUUGGCUCAACCGCCCUUACCCUGGGUGAUGCACCAUCUCCCUCUCGUGGUGGCUUGAUCAGAGAGCAGUUAAGGAAAAUUCUACUAUAACUUCAGAUAACAGACUUCAAGCUUUCAAGGCUAAAGAGUGAAGAUUCACAAUUGCAGGCACAGUGGUCAAAGUCUGAGAUAAUCAGUCUGGGAGGCAGACAGUCACUGUUUGCAUUUAAGAUUUUUUUUUUUUUUUGUAAUGUUCAGGAUGAAUUGGAAAGCCUUAAACUAAGAACAGCUGUAAUUUUCAAACCUGG
rnacentral:lncRNA from 7 species